GGGGAUAACAGUUAGAAAUGACUGCUAAUACCGCAUAAGCGCACGGGACCGCAUGGUCCGGUGUGAAAAACUCCGGUGGUAUGAGAUGGACCCGCGUCUGAUUAGUUAGUUGGCGGGGUAGCGGCCCACCAAGACGACGAUCAGUAGCCGACCUGAGAGGGUGACCGGCCACAUUGGGACUGAGACACGGCCCAAACUCCUACGGGAGGCAGCAGUGGGGAAUAUUGCACAAUGGGGGAAACCCUGAUGCAGCGACGCCGCGUGAGUGAAGAAGUAUUUCGGUAUGUAAAGCUCUAUCAGCAGGGAAGAAGUUGACGGUACCUGAGUAAGAAGCCCCGGCUAACUACGUGCCAGCAGCCGCGGUAAUACGUAGGGGGCAAGCGUUAUCCGGAUUUACUGGGUGUAAAGGGAGCGUAGACGGCAGUGCAAGUCUGAAGUGAAAGCCCCGGGCUUAACCCGGGAACUGCUUUGGAAACUGUACGGCUGGAGUGCUGGAGAGGUAAGCGGAAUUCCUAGUGUAGCGGUGAAAUGCGUAGAUAUUAGGAGGAACACCAGUGGCGAAGGCGGCUUACUGGACAGUAACUGACGUUGAGGCUCGAAAGCGUGGGGAGCAAACAGGAUUAGAUACCCUGGUAGUCCACGCCGUAAACG
rnacentral:rRNA from 1 species